CAUUGCAAUAUCGUUCGCUCUCUUACCCAGAACGUACACGUAAGAUCAUUGCCAUUGUGUUUCUCUCUUCGUUUAUUACUGGAAUCCCUUUCUACUGGUGGAGUGAUGUAUGGAGAGAUCCCCGGAGCCCAGGAUUGAUGGAUCGUGUUCUUAAAUGGUUCCACUGUUUCAUAAUUUACUUCAUCCCUUGCACUAUUUUUCUCCUCACCAAUACUGUAAUCGUUUGUAAACUGAGGCGGA